UAUUACUUUACUUCAGUUAUUUUUGCAGUAAAUGUUGUUAGUUUCGUUUAGUUUUAGUUCUUCAUUAAUUGUGAAUUAUUUAUUUUAUUUCAGUUAACGAAAAUGGAGGUUGACCCUGGAGUUUUAGACUUAUAGUUUCAGUUUUCGUUUACAAAAAUAACCUAGCAACCAAGGCCUGGGCUUGUUGUAACCUACCACAAAAGCUGAAGGCCAGUUGUUCAUAGUGAAACAGUGAAAUUGCUGAACCCUUUACGACGUGACUCAUAGAGUGAAAUAUUAUUGUCACCUAAAAGUCGAGUUGUUUGGCCGGUAAACUGAGGUGUGAAGCAGCAGGGUGUGACCGGUCCCUUCCCGCGGUCUCAAACUCUUGCUCGGCCACUGACCGGCCGGUUUUCCAGUCUCUGUCGUCGAGCUCGUGUCCUUAUUUGGCUCUGGUUGAGUGAAUGGAGAACAGAGAGAGUUUCCUCCUGACUGUGACUCACUGGUGACUCACGCGCAUGCUAACAAAACACUGCGUCGCCAUGGGGACGUGCGCCGACUCCCGCCCUUCGGCCAGUUCCCGCCAUUCACCACCGAGAGUAUGGCAGACAGAAGGAGAGCUUCAGAGAACAUGGUGGGGAUCCUGUCCGUCAUUGCUGUGAUGAUGAACCACAUCUGCGGUUUCUCUGCAAGCAAGUGUGAACUUGAGGAAUUCAUGCAACCACUAAAACUCUUGCCGCAGGUCCUUCAGUCUUAAGCACAUUUCUCAGGGACUACAUGAGGGUGUGAUGGAUGCAAAGACAAUUCCUGUAGUGUCUCAGAAUGACUGAACGUCUGCAGUUGACAUGAAAAAGCGAACGAAAGUGAGGUGUGAAUGGAGGAGGGUUUCUGUGACAUAUGAGGAAAUUGAGAAAACGGAAGAAAUAUGGGGGAAAAUACCUCACGGGAUGAAAGCGGGAAAGAACUGUAAAAUACGGGAGAAUCCCAGGAAAAACAGGAGGGUUCACAGGUAUGCCUAAGUUAGAAGCAACCGUCUGCCAUUACAGUUUUGAAUCUGCCACUAUGCUGACACAUAGGCGUUUAUAGCUCCACCCUCUUUUGAAAAGAGCUCAAUCUCAUUUAAAUUUAAAGUGACCAGAAUGACACUAUUUGGAUCAAAGCCUUAAAGGGGCCGUUUUAAAAAGUUAUUAAACAUUAUUUGUGUCUUAUUUCAAGCUGAAGCUUCACAAACACACUCCAGGGACAUCAGAGACUUAUUUUACAACUUGUAAAAAGGACAUAAUAGGUCCCCUUUAACUUGCAGCACAUUUGAGCUCUCUCAGCCACCGUAAUAAAUUGACAACCAGUCAAAAUAUCCAAGAAAAUGUUAACAACCUAUGCUGUAUAUUUAUAGUCAACUUCAGAUGAGUCAAGAAGUUAAUAUUUGUCAGAUUUCCCAGCUUUCCCACUAUUCCAGCAAAUGAAAACAUUUGUUAUUUAGACAAAGCAGGUCAAAUCAAAUGUAAAUGUUAGGAUUUCUAUUGUUUUAAAUGUGAAAGAAGUGUUCCUAAUCUUUUAUAGCACUGUGUCCUAACCCUGUUCCUAAAGGCACACCAACAGUACACAUUUUCCACCUCUUUCUAAUUAAACACACCUGAAUCAACUCAUCAGAGUAUUAGAAAAGACUUCAAAACCUGAAGUGAAUGGGUCAGAUAAGGGAGACAU